rnacentral:rRNA from 1 species
AUGAACGCUAGCGACAGGCUAACACAUGCAAGUCGAGGGGUAACAGGGUAGCAAUACCGCUGACGACCGGCGCACGGGUGAGUAACGCGUAUGCAACCUGCCUAUAAACUGGGGAAUAGCUCCCUGAAAGGGGGAAUUAACACCGCAUAACACUAUUGAUUCGCAUGGAUUAGUAGUUAAAUGUAGCGAUACAGGUUAUAGAUGGGCAUGCGUGACAUUAGCUAGUUGGUGAGGUAACGGCUCACCAAGGCUACGAUGUCUAGGGGUUCUGAGAGGAAGGUCCCCCACACUGGUACUGAGACACGGACCAGACUCCUACGGGAGGCAGCAGUGAGGAAUAUUGGUCAAUGGGCGCAAGCCUGAACCAGCCAUGUCGCGUGCAGGAAGAACCUGCCCUAUGGGUUGUAAACUGCUUUUAUAGUAGAAGAAACACAUCUACGCGUAGAUGUCUGCCAGUAUACUAUGAAUAAGCAUCGGCUAACUCCGUGCCAGCCGCCGC